rnacentral:rRNA from 1 species
AUUGAACGCUGGCGGCAUGCCUUACACAUGCAAGUCGAACGGCAGCACGGAGCUUGCUCAGGUGGCGAGUGGCGAACGGGUGAGUAAUAUAUCGGAACGUACCCAAGAGUGGGGGAUAACGUAGCGAAAGUUACGCUAAUACCGCAUACGAUCUCAGGAUGAAAGCAGGGGACCUUCGGGCCUUGUGCUCCUGGAGCGGCCGAUAUCUGAUUAGCUAGUUGGUGGGGUAAAGGCCCACCAAGGCAACGAUCAGUAGCUGGUCUGAGAGGACGACCAGCCACACUGGAACUGAGACACGGUCCAGACUCCUACGGGAGGCAGCAGUGGGGAAUUUUGGACAAUGGGGGCAACCCUGAUCCAGCAAUGCCGCGUGAGUGAAGAAGGCCUUCGGGUUGUAAAGCUCUUUUGUCAGGGAAGAAAAGGGAUUGGCUAAUAUCUAGUCCUCAUGACGGUACCUGAAGAAUAAGCACCGGCUAACUACGUGCCAGCAGCCGCAGUAA